GACAGAUGAAACAGUUUCAAGACAAUGGCAGGAAAAACAUGCUGAAGAUUGAAACAAACCUUGGCUGGAAAUAUUUGAAGGUAUCUAGCCAGUCCACAAUGAAAGCUUCGUUGCACCCCAUGAGUCUUCUGGCAGAAAUGAUGGCGCCUGUAUUCUUUGGUUUCCCUAAACAUCACACCCUGCCUGUUUAUACGAGGCUCUUCAAUUAAGUCUGCACCCAAAGAUUCAAUAAGAGAGGGGAUCCUGCCAGUCCAAAGUGAACUCCUGAUGGACACUGAAGUACUCCUGCAGAGCUUGUAUCUUCGACACCAUGCACAUUAGAAACUCCACUGAGUCCUUUCCUUCACCAAGGCAGGACCCAGUGACUCAUUACUGUUGAUAGGUCAGGGGCAGGUAAUAUUUAGUUUCAUGUUUAUUCAUUCCUCCAUGGAUUACCAGCCAUAUAUAUGGACACAUGCUGUAUUCUCAAGAUCUAUGCUGUUUUGUAGGAAUAGAGAAAAUGAUAUGUUUAGUCUGUUUUCAAAUGCUAUGUCAAAUUUUCUCAUUGUUUAUCAGUAAUAUUCACUACCUCGGUUAUAUAUGAGCAUCUUUAGAUUUUUCUAUAUUUAGUGGUUGCAAAUGUAAAAUGUACGGUAAACCAUUUAUGUUCCUCAUAUUGUACUGUAUUUUUAGCGGUAAAAUACCGGCAGCUGUGGUUGCCAGGAAUUUACCGUAAAAAAAAUUUACCGUUUAGUAAUAUCGAAUACAUGAGAUAACUCCCGUUGCCUCCAGGAGGGGAAAGGAUGAAAAGAGGCGAUUUUCCAGCUUCUUGCCUUCCCUAUGGUGUGAUCUAAGGUUGCAACCAACAACACAGCUCGUAGGAAGCAUAGCUGAGACUUCCGUGUGCUUUGUUUGGCCUGGUGUCAUGGCGGGAGGGGCCGUGGGCCGUGACAGGACGCUCCUCCGCCCUAUAGUAGACAGAGCGUGAGGGAGUGUAAGUUGGGUGAUUAAAGUGGUUGGGUCCCAUUUUGUUGUAUGCAAGAAAGAAGUAGGUAGGUUUCCAUGUGUAAUUAGUGUGUAAGAAUAUUGCAGAAGAAGCUUAAUGUGUACUUUGUAAACAGGAUGAGAAAAAAAGCUGGAUGAAGAAGAAAAGAUAAAUGUCCUUUUUUUCAAGCGUUCUCUCGGCCGGCCGUUUCAGUGCCACGGCCCUCGCUUGGGGGGCAGGGAGACGCGCACUCGCGUUUCCUUUUUGCUUUUUCCUGCUCUUGCCAAGUCCUCCGCCCGCUCUACAUCUCUCUUAUUACCUUUUAUUACCCGAAGAAAAUCACAAUCACGCUUACACUCAUGCCUUUGCCUUUCACCACUUCAAAACUGCGCCUACUUCAAUAUUACCUUCAUUCGCUCUCUUUGCUUUUCGCCUUCCUCACUACACU